AGCACCGGCUAACUCCGUGCCAGCAGCCGCGGUAAUACGGAGGGUGCGAGCGUUAAUCGGAAUUACUGGGCGUAAAGCGCAUGCAGGUGGUUUGUUAAGUCAGAUGUGAAAGCCCGGGGCUCAACCUCGGAAUAGCAUUUGAAACUGGCAGACUAGAGUACUGUAGAGGGGGGUAGAAUUUCAGGUGUAGCGGUGAAAUGCGUAGAGAUCUGAAGGAAUACCGGUGGCGAAGGCGGCCCCCUGGACAGAUACUGACACUCAGAUGCGAAAGCGUGGGGAGCAAACAGGAUUAGAUACCCUGGUAGUCCACGCCGUAAACGAUGUCUACUUGGAGGUUGUGGCCUUGAGCCGUGGCUUUCGGAGCUAACGCGUUAAGUAGACCGCCUGGGGAGUACGGUCGCAAGAUUAAAACUCAAAUGAAUUGACGGGGGCCCGCACAAGCGGUGGAGCAUGUGGUUUAAUUCGAUGCAACGCGAAGAACCUUA
rnacentral:rRNA from 1 species